CGAAGAGGUGCAGCAGCUACUCUCCCUCCGGCGGCUGCAGCAACAGAGCCAGGCACACUGCAAUCCCAUUAGUGAGCGGCGGCCACUGCAUUCCAGCGCUCCUAUGACUCAUUGCCAUUCUCCUGAAGUCACAGAGAAAGGACAGACUGUUUUAAUUAUAAGCACAAAAAAGUCUAUCAGGCAUAUGGAGAUAACAGCCCAGAAUUUUUACGAGACCUUGGAGAAGUUGGUUUGCCAGAGUUCGAAACUCUAACAGUUGACUUAUUUUAGCACAAGAGAAGGUUUCCUGAGCAUCUGAAUCUGUGCUAGGAGAAGCUAAGCACAAGGGCAAGAUUGCUAAAUAUGACUUUGGAGAGGAGCGGGUAAAAGAGCAUAUAUGCAUGUAACAAAGCCUAAGGGUCACACUAAAAUGUCUAAAACAUAAAGAGAGCACUCUUUUUAAAAAGUAUAUAA